AACGUAGGUGGCGAGCGUUAUCCGGAUUUACUGGGCGUAAAGCGUGUGCAGGCGGGGGAAUAAGUGGGGUAUGAAAUCUCCCAGCUUAACUGGGAGGGGUUAUGCCAGACUGUUACUCUAGAGUGCGAGAGAGGAACGUGGAAUUCCACGUGUAGCGGUGAAAUGCGUAGAGAUGUGGAGGAACACCAGUGGCGAAGGCGACUCUUUGGCCUGUAACUGACACUGAGGCGCGAAAGCGUGGGGAGCAAACAGG
rnacentral:rRNA from 1 species